rnacentral:lncRNA from 1 species
UGCAAAGUACAGUUUAAAUGAAUAAAUGUGUAUAUAUAAAAACAAAUGUUUGAAUGAAACAAAUGUUUCAAAAACAAAUGCCAUGCCAUUAGCAGACCAGAAUCAAGAAAUAAGACAUUCCAAAGACGCUCAACACUAACCUCUUAUGAAAAUAUCAACCAAGGCCACUAACAGGGGUAAGAAUGCUGAGGUAGAGGCUAGGACAGCAAGAACUGUAUAGCUGGAGGUCAAGCAUAGAAAGAAAUUAGAACCGUGUCAGCAAGAACAUUAGCUGCAACAGUUGAUGCAACCAUUUAAAAUAUUGGAAAUAUGUGAUGUAUCAUGCCAGGGCAUAUAUGUUCAAAUUGUAAUCAAACAUUAGUAGUUCAAAUUACAAAGAUAAAAGAUGGGUUUCGUGCAAAAUUAACCAUGAAAAUCUACGUGUAAUGCAUUAUGCAGAAGCAAAGAAAGAAAGAAAGGCGUAAGCAAUGCCAGCCAAAAUAUUAGAUUAGGCCCUGAAAGUAAAUAAGGAGACUGGAUGUAGCAUGAUUAAAGUAAAUGGCGUUGUUCAUGAGUUCUUAGCUGGUGAAGGAGUGAUUCUUGAAUAAAUCUGACAUUAAAAAAUCAAUCCAUUCUGCUGGAAAGUAGGAAUGACGUUCUGUAGAUAAAUGAUAAAAGUAGAUACAACAAAUUGAUGGUGCAUAAUGAAGUUGCAGUAGAAAAGGAGUCAUGAAUCUCACAUUCAUGGUAUGCUAGAGUUCGACGGGGAUGUGUCUUUUGUGGACAAAACCGUGAUGCCUCAAUUGACAAAAAGCAUGAGACAGACAAGAAAUUAUGUCCAAGGACUCAGAUUUUGAUAGAGUUACGGACAUAGGCCCUUAAGUAAAGGUAGAUAUUCUUCUUGCAUAUGUAUGCUUGCAUUGCAUGUCAAGUAGCUUCUAGCCAAAAAUUAAAUUGAAAACCAACUUAUGGACCCUUUAAUGUUUGAAUUUAAAGCUAAAGUUGUAGCCUGAUGCAAAUUAAAAGCAUUGGUCAGCUCUAUGUUGCUUUGACUCUACAUUUUCCUUUUAAAUAUCCGCAUUUGAAACUUGUGUCUGACACUUAGCUAUAAAACUAUGUUUUCAUGCCUAUAUCAAAUACAUACUCGAAUCCAGAUAUAUGAUCCUACAAAAAUCCCAUCUUCAAGUUGUAUUAAGAACACUAAUAUACUUUAAGGGUAAAUUGCCUUCUAUUAUCUUUAAAACUAGAAGCCAAUACAGAUGCAGACUGCGCAAGUUCCAAAACAGACAGAAGAGGCAGAGAUCAACUACUAGGUAUCGUACCAUCCUGGGAAAGAAUUGAAUCACUUCGAGAAGCAUUGAAGGUCAGAUGCUACUGUAUUGGUGUUAAGGCUGCAAUCUAACAAAGUAAAUGAAAAAAAUUGUAACCCUUAAAGCAUUGAAGGUCAGAUACUACUGUAUUGGUGUUAAGGCUGCAAUUUUUUUCAAUUUUC